rfam:Danio rerio chromosome 4, GRCz11 reference primary assembly.
AUACUUACCUGGCAGGGGAGAUACCAUGAUCAAGAAGGUGGUUCACCCAGGGUGAGGCUUUGGCCAUUGCACUCAGGCCACGCCGACAUCUGCGAACGGCGAUCGACCUGUACGGCGUGCAAAUUUCAUUUUAGAAGUGUAGGCAAUUACAGCACCUG